GAUGAACGCUGGCGGCGUGCCUAAUACAUGCAAGUCGAGCGAACGGACGAGAAGCUUGCUUUUCUGAUGUUAGCGGCGGACGGGUGAGUAACACGUGGAUAACCUACCUAUAAGACUGGGAUAACUUCGGGAAACCGGAGCUAAUACCGGAUAAUAUUUUGAACCGCAUGGUUCAAAAGUGAAAGACGGUCUUGCUGUCACUUAUAGAUGUAUCCGCGCUGCAUUAGCUAGUUGGUAAGGUAACGGCUUACCAAGGCAACGAUGCAUAGCCGACCUGAGAGGGUGAUCGGCCACACUGGAACUGAGACACGGUCCAGACUCCUACGGGAGGCAGAAGUAGGGAAUCUUCCGCAAUGGGCGAAAGCCUGACGGAGCAACGCCGCGUGAGUGAUGAAGGUCUUCGGAUCGUAAAACUCUGUUAUUAGGGAAGAACAUAUGUGUAAGUAACUGUGCACAUCUUGACGGUACCUAAUCAGAAAGCCACGGCUAACUACGUG
rnacentral:rRNA from 1 species